AAGACUAUAUUUGCAAGGAUCAUUUCUAGAGUGAAAAACAUGUUUUGAAGGGAUGGUCUCGGUAUCCCCCAGGAGGAGCGGGAGUGUUUCUUCUCAGGCAAACGAGCUGAAAAUGAGUGUGGUUUUUGGGCACCUGCUCUGCGGCUACUGAUGACCACUCCAAUCUUCAGUCGGUGGAUUGUUGAAGGAAGGGGACACAUUCUGAGUGGC
rnacentral:snoRNA from 1 species